AGUGGAGGGGGAACUGCGUUUCCAACCUGUCUGUGUUUAUCAAGAAUGGUCCCAUAAAAGCGAAAGGAGUCUGGGAAUCCCUGAGAUCUUGCGCAUUCGCGAACGCUUACUACUCUUGUCUGGGUGGGAUGUAGUACACGACCCUAAAAAGCAAUGGGGAAAAAAAUUUGUUAUAAUACAUCGGUUACAAUUUUUAUUCGAGUCAGACAUUAUACGUAUAUGUGCAGAUUGAAUUACUUGUCACGAUUACAUUACACGUCAUGAAGAAUUGAAUGAGUAAACAAAUUGAAUAUAGACACAUCGGACAAUAAACUACACAUAUACCUGUUUUCCCAUGGGUUCAGGGUUUGUAAUAGUGGUGCCGAAGAACCCAUCCCACUCUAAUCUGCCAUAUAAACCUGCCCAAUGAUUGUGACGAUUCCCUGUAUGAGGCAGACACCAUGGAAUCAAGCUUGCUUGGAGAACAUGUCGACUAUGGAUUGGCCGUGCUUGCUGAGUUUCGAACUACCCGAUUUCAUUUUGAUAUUUUAGUUUGGGAGAAUCGAGCUGUUGGAAGCUUUCUUGUCGACUCAAUAAUAUUAUAAAUUAAAU